rnacentral:lncRNA from 1 species
CUUGUAUCUCCUGCAUUCGCAGGCAGAUUCUUUACCACUUGUGGCACCUGAGAAGGGCUGCUGCUUUUGGGUUGCAGGAGGCAGGGACCAUCUUCAUCUGUCAUUUUUGUGCACAGUUGGGGAUGGUAAGAAGUCACAGACUCUGAGGGACUGGCAGGAACCUUAGAUCUUUUCUUCCCUUUCACUUCUACAGACGUGGAGACAGAGGUCCAGAGAGCUCCAGGACUGAGAAUACCACUCUUGCCCCCUGCUCCCACCCCCCUUUUUUCCCCUUGCUGUACUACUGCUAGGGAAUCUGAGGACUGAGUGAUUAGGUGUAAAAAGGAGCGGGGGGUGGUUGUUCCAGGGCAUUGGAUCUUCAUCACCUCCCUGGUGGUUAUCUGCCCAGACGGGUCUCUGCUUCCUUUCCCAUCUCUGAGGAAGACACCUGCUAGCCCUGGCCCCAAGACUCAAGGUCACUGAGCUUGCUGUUUCCGACUUUUCCCCGGGUCCACUGGGCACCUGCUGACCUGCUGGUUAGUAGCUGUGCAGAUUGAUCUGUCUGAUCUUAAGGCAUGUAAUGGCUCCACCGGCAGGACCAUGGGUCUUGGUGACCCACUUUCUCCCCUGGCCCUUUGGACUCAUCCUCAGACAACUGACAUGUGUUCCCUGAACAGAGCUUCUGCCAUCAUCCUGAGACUCUUGAGACUGAGGGGAUAAUUUGGUUCAAAACAUUUAUGAGAACUUGCCAACUGAUGCUUUUGAACUGUGGUGUUGGAGAAGACUCUCGAGAUUUCCUUGGACUGCAAGGAGAUCCAACCAGUCCAUCCUAAAGGAAAUCAGUCCUGAAUGUUCAUUGGAAAGACUGAUGCUGAAGCUGAAACUCCAAUACUUUGGCCACCUGAUUUGAAGAACCG